rnacentral:rRNA from 1 species
GAUGAACGCUGGCGGCGUGCCUAAUACAUGCAAGUCGAGCGAACGGACGAGAAGCUUGCUUCUCUGAUGUUAGCGGCGGACGGGUGAGUAACCCGUGGAUAACCUACCUAUAAGACUGGGAUAACUUCGGGAAACCGGAGAUAAUACCGGAUAAUAUUUUGAACCGCAUGGUUCAAAAGUGAACGACGGUCUUGCUGUCACUUAUAGAUGGAUCCGCGCUGCAUUAGCUAGUUGGUAAGGUAACGGCUUACCAAGGCAACGAUGCAUAGCCGACCUGAGAGGGUGACCGGCCACACUGGAACUGAGACACGGUCCAGACUCCUACGGGAGGCAGCAGUAGGGAAUCUUCCGCAAUGGGCGAAAGCCUGACGGAGCAACGCCGCGUGAGUGAUGAAGGUCUUCGGAUCGUAAAACUCUUUUAUUAGGGAAGAACACAUGUGUAAGUAACUGUGCACAGCUUGACGGUACCUAAUCAGAAAGCCACGGCUAACUACGUG